rnacentral:rRNA from 1 species
AUGUCGUUCGACCUCGAGGACGAACGUGUCACGUCCGUUAUGCCACUGCCGUCCAUGUUGUCCAACCCCAAAGAGGGCAGCAGUUGGCACCUCGCAGAGGUGCAGGGGAGGCUGGGCAUCGUCGUUCGCCGCGGCUCAUCGUUGAAGACGGAGGUGUGGGUCAUGGAGGGCACGACAAGGGGAUACCAUAUCAAGUGGAGCCGCUGGUACAUCGUGCAGAUGAGCAGCAUGCUACGGCGUCUCACGCGGCCAACCUUCGUCCAUGGCGGGCAUGUCCUGACAUGGGGGUGGUGGCGGUGCGGAAAACAAGGAUCUGUCUUGUGUAGGCACACACCGAGCGACGACAUCGCGGAGGCGAAGCGCGGAGUGGUGGAGCUCGGCGAGAGGAACCUGGGGACGGUGGUCGCACGUAUUGAUAUGGCAGACGACGAUCGUCGAACUUAUGGGUACAUCGAAACCAAGGAACCGUUGAGUGUUUACCUGCAUGCUGGAGGGUCUACAUGCCUCAUCAGUUGGGACUGGAAUCCUUAA